CCUCCAGAUAUUGCUGGACUCCAACUCCCAUCAGCCCCUGCCAGCAUGGCAAAUGGUAUGUGAUGAUGGGAGUUGGAGCCCAGCAAUAUCUGGAGG